rnacentral:rRNA from 1 species
UACAGAGGUCUCAAGCGUUGUUCGGAUUCAUUGGGCGUAAAGGGCGCGUAGGUGGCGUCGCAAGUCAACGGUGAAAGCUCGACGCUUAACGUCGAGUCGGCCGUCGAGACUGCGAGGCUCGAGCACUGUAGAGGCUCAUGGAAUUCCGGGUGUAGCGGUGGAAUGCGUAGAGAUCCGGAAGAACACCGGUGGCGAAGGCGGUGAGCUGGGCAGUUGCUGACACUGAGGCGCGACAGCGUGGGGAGCAAACAGG